GUUUGAUUGGAGGAAAAUGGUGUUUGUGGAUACUGCAACUAAUGAAAAAGGAGGUAUGGGCUGGCAGCUCAUGAUGGUCCAUGGAUGGAAUGGAAGCUUGUAUUCAAUGGGUUUACUCUUCUUGAAUGGCAAUGGUCAAAAUCUCAUUCAACUA